CCUACGGGUGGCUGCAGUGGGGAAUAUUGCACAAUGGGGGAAACCCUGAUGCAGCGACGCCGCGUGAGUGAAGAAGUAUUUCGGUAUGUCACGCUCUAUCAGCAGGGAAGAAGCAAGACGGUACCUGACUAAGAAGCCCCGGCUAACUACGUGCCAUCAGCCGCGGUAAUACGUAGGGGGCAAGCGUUAUCCGGAUUUACUGGGUGUAAAGGGAGCGUAGACGGUAUGGCAAGUCUGAAGUGAAAGACCAGGGCUUAACCCUGGGACUGCUUUGGAAACUGUUAGACUAGAGUGCUGGAGAGGUAAGUGGAAUUCCUAGUGUAGCGGUGAAAUGCGUAGAUAUUAGGAGGAACACCAGUGGCGAAGGCGGCUUACUGGACAGUAACUGACGUUGAGGCUCGAAAGCGUGGGGAGCAAACAGGAUUAGAUACCCUGGUAGUC
rnacentral:rRNA from 1 species